rnacentral:rRNA from 1 species
CACGUAGGGGGCAAGCGUUGUCCGGAAUCAUUGGGCGUAAAGAGCUCGUAGGCGGCUCAGUAAGUCGGGUGUGAAACCCUCAGGCUCAACCUGGGGACGCCACCCGAUACUGCUGUGGCUAGAGUCCAGUAGGGAAGUGGAAUUCCCGGUGUAGUGGUGAAAUGCGUAGAUAUCGGGAGGAACACCAGUGGCGAAGGCGACUUCCUGGCCUGUUCUUGACGCUGAGGCGCGAAAGCUAGGGGAGCAAACGGG